rnacentral:rRNA from 1 species
UACGUAGGGUGCGAGCGUUAAUCGGAAUUACUGGGCGUAAAGCGUGCGCAGGCGGUUCGUUAAGUCAGAUGUGAAAGCCCCGGGCUCAACCUGGGAACUGCAUUUGAAACUGGCGGGCUUGAGUAUGGCAGAGGGGGGUGGAAUUCCGCGUGUAGCAGUGAAAUGCGUAGAUAUUCGGAAGAACACCAGUGGCGAAGGCGGCUCACUGGUCCGGUACUGACGCUGAGGUGCGAAAGCGUGGGGAGCAAACAGG